rnacentral:rRNA from 1 species
UACGUAGGGUGCGAGCGUUAAUCGGAAUUACUGGGCGUAAAGUGUGCGCAGGCGGCGUCGCAAGUCGAGUGUGAAAGCCCCGGGCUUAACUUGGGAAUUGCGCUCGAAACUACGGUGCUGGAGUAUGGCAGAGGAAGGUGGAAUUCCACGUGUAGCGGUGAAAUGCGUAGAGGUGUGGAGGAACACCGAUGGCGAAGGCAGCCUCCUGGGCCAACACUGACGCUCAUGCACGAAAGCGUGGGGAGCAAACAGG